rnacentral:lncRNA from 1 species
GUCAUUCUUCUCAUGUCUGCCACCAUGUGAGACGUGCCUUUCGCCUUCCAUCAUGAUUGUGAGGCCUCCCCAGCCACAUGGAACUGUGAGUCGGUUAAAUCUCUUUCUUUUGUAAAUUGCCCAGUCUCCAGUAUGUCUUUAUAGCAGCAUGAAAACUGACUAAUACACACUACACACUGUAAAUGUUAGUCAUGGAGGAUGUGUACCAACAUGGAAGAGUGUUUACAAUGUAUCUUUAGAGAAAAGAUGGACUAUCCAAGUAUGCAUACUGGAAUUAUCAUUAGAUUACCAUACAUCUGGGUGAGGAGCAGAACAGAGACAUAAGGUGAGUUUGUGGGCAAGGUUUUCUUUUUAAACUUCCCAAAAGCUUGCUUUACAUACAUGUAGGCUUAAAUAAUUUUUUUUUGAGAGAUAGUUUCACUCUUAUUGCCCAGGCUGGAGUGCAGUGGCACAAUCUCAGCUCACUGCAACCUCCGCCUCCCGGGUUCAAGUGAUUCUCCUGCCUCAGCCUCCUGAAUAGCUGGGAUUACAGGCACCCGCCUCCAAGCCCAGCUAACUUUUUGUAUUUUUAAUAGAGAUGGGGUUUCAUCAUGUUGGCCAGGCUGGUCUUGAACAUCUGACCUCAAGUGAUCCACCUGCCUCGGCCUCCCAAAGUGCUGGGAUUACAGACAUGAGCCACCAUGCCCAGCCAAAUAACAUUUUUCUUAUUUUAAAAAGUAAGUUCAUUGUAAAAAGUUUAGAAAACAAAGGUAAGAAAAAAAAUAAUUCUGUUGCCCAGAAAUAAAAACUGUCCAUGUUUUGAUAUUGUAUCCUCAGUAACAGCAACCGUGAACCUCAGAGGCAGCCAAGGGAAAUGUUCCUCCCAUAUGGAAAGUCAGAAGCUGCCAGAGAGGCAAGUGGAGCAUGCAAGACAACUGAUGGCAUAGUCUCAGAACUGACCAUGAAUACUGCUCUCCACUUUCCAUUGACCAAAGCAAGUCCAACGUUGUGGGAAAGGGUCCCUCACCCACAGUGGGAGGUGAGGGGUGUGGACACUUGCCACUUGCUGAUUGAUGACCAAAAUAUCCCAGGUAUAUACCCUUUCACACUUUUCCUAUGCUUUUUUAAAUAAAGACACUCUUUACCAAUCAGAAUCACUCUACAUAUUGUUUUGCC